AGAGCGAACGCUGGCGGCAGGCCUAAUACAUGCAAGUCGAACGGAUCCUUCGGGAUUAGUGGCGGACGGGUGAGUAACACGUGGGAACGUGCCCUUUGGUUCAGAACAACUCAGGGAAACUUGAGCUAAUACUGGAUAAGCCCUUCGGGGGAAAGAUUUAUCGCCAUUGGAGCGGCCCGCGUCUGAUUAGCUAGUUGGUAGGGUAAAGGCCUACCAAGGCUUCGAUCAGUAGCUGGUCUGAGAGGAUGAUCAGCCACACUGGGACUGAGACACGGCCCAGACUCCUACGGGAGGCAGCAGUAGGGAAUCUUGCGCAAUGGGCGAAAGCCUGACGCAGCCAUGCCGCGUGAAUGAUGAAGGUCUUAGGAUUGUAAAAUUCUUUCAGCGGGACGAUAAUGACGGUACCCGCAGAAGAAGCCCGGCUAACUUCGUGCCAGCAGCCGC
rnacentral:rRNA from 1 species